rnacentral:rRNA from 1 species
GGCUCAGGACGAACGCUGGCGGCGUGCCUAAUACAUGCAAGUCGAACGGUCUUUCUAUGGAAGCUUGCUUCCACUGAGAAGAUAGUGGCGAACGGGUGAGUAACACGUGGGUAACCUGCCCAUAAGAGGGGGAUAACAUCCGGAAACGGGUGCUAAUACCGCAUAGUUUUCUUGAUCGCAUGAUCGGGAAAGGAAAGACGGCCUUUGUGCUGUCGCUUAUGGAUGGACCCGCGGCGUAUUAGUUAGUUGGUGAGGUAACGGCUCACCAAGACGAUGAUACGUAGCCGACCUGAGAGGGUGAUCGGCCACAUUGGGACUGAGACACGGCCCAAACUCCUACGGGAGGCAGCAGUAGGGAAUCUUCCGCAAUGGACGAAAGUCUGACGGAGCAACGCCGCGUGAGUGAAGAAAAGGUUUUCGGAUCGUAAAACUCUGUUGUCAGAGAAGAACAAGUUGGAGAGUAACUGCUCCAGCCUUGACGGUAUCUGACCAGAAAGCCACGGCUAACUACGUGCCAGCCGCGGC